CAUUUGAUAAAGGUAUUAGCAUUUUAACACCUACUACAAAAUCUAAGAUAAUUAAAAAGUUUCAUAAAAUCUUCAAAUUAUUAUUAAAUUUACUUAUAAUAUAUAAAACAUGUUGGGAUUUUACAUACAAAUCUUAAUGUCUUAUUUAUUUUUGAGACUCUUUUAAACGGUUUGACUUUUUUGUGCACUAAUCAAAUUAAUAGUCACCUUUCUUAC
rnacentral:lncRNA from 1 species